rnacentral:lncRNA from 1 species
CUUCAAGAUGACUAUCACAGAAAUGCUAUAUAGUAUAUGGUUAGAGAGAAAUGCAAGAAUUUUUGAAAACAUUUAUUGUAAUAGUGAUAAACUCCUAUGUAGCAUAGCCUAUAUUUGUAAUGUUCGAGCUCCUCCUAGGCUUAGUUCACAUAUUCAGCAUUGAGUGAUAAACUCCUAAGUAGCAUAGCCUAUAUUUGUAAUGUUCGAGCUCCUCCUAGGCUUAGUUUACAUAUUCAGCAUUUUAUGAUAUAAAUGCUGAAUAUUAGAGUAGCAUAGAUACUUCAUGUUCUAAGUUGAUAGGCAGUUAAGAUUAAACUGUCCUAUGAUUUUGUAAGGCAUCCUUUUG